CCCCCUUGCUCAACCCUCCUGCCCACGACCUCACCUGGGGCCCACAGGCCAGGGGGCGCGGAUGAACACGAGCGGAUGCGGGGGAUGCCUCCCCUGCUCCAGGCUCAGCGUCGGCCCCCGGCCUGAAAUCCAGGGCUUGGCGCGGUAAAUAUUUCGUCUCGGAAGCUGUUCUCCUUUCUCAUUCUCGGGGACCUGAGCCUUCAUCUCAUUGGAUGGAAACCAAGAUGCCCACUGUGUGACCCACACAGAGGGAAUGAGGACCUUUACAGACUGCCUGAGAAAACCGAAACGUGGCCACCGAAAACACCACUUUCCGAGUAUGGCUGGCAACACCAAAGAAAGACCCAGAACAUUUAGCUUUUGAAGCAAAGCAGGCAGAAGAGAAGCCUAGCAAACACACCUUG